AAGGUAGCAUAAUCACUCGCCCUUUAAUUGGGGGCUGGAAUGAACGGACACACGAAAGAACCCCUGUCUCCUAUUUAUCCAUAAAAACUAGCCCUCAGGUGAAGAGACCUGAAUUCAAUAAAAGGACAAGAAGACCCUAUUGAGCUUUACUUUAAACCUGUUAUAUAGCUUGCCUAGCAAACUAAAUUACCAGCCACAGAGUUUGGUUGGGGCGACCAAGGAACUACCCAAACUUCCUCCCUGAUACAGGCUAACAAGCCACCUAUGAUCCGAUAUUCGAUUUGUGAAAAAAGCUACCAUAGGGAUAACAGGCUAAUCCUCCUAGAGAGCUCACAUUGACAGGAGGGGUUGGCACCUCGAUGUUGGCUUAGGGUACCCCGUCGGUGUAGCAGCCGACAAAGGUGGGUUCGUUCAACCCAUAAAACCCUACGUGAUCUGAGUUCAGACCGGA
rnacentral:rRNA from 1 species